GAACGCUAGCGAUAAGUUUUACACAUGCAAGUCGAGGGGCAGCAUUAAAUAAGCAAUUAUUUAGAUGGCGACCGGCGAAUUGGUGAGUAAUACGUAUAUAAUCUACCUUUAGUUAAAGAAUAGUUUGACUUGAUCAAAGUAAUGCUUUAUAAUAUAAUUUUACAUAAGUAAUUUUAUUAAAAGUUUGCAAAAACGACUAGAGAUGAGUAUACGCCUGAUUAACUUGUUGGUAAGGUAAAGGCUUACCAAGGUAACGAUCAGUAGGGGGCCUUAAUGGGUGACCCUCCACAUUGGAAUUGAGAUACAGUCCAGACUCCAUUUUGGAGGCAGCAGUGAAGAAUUUUGGUCAAUGGAGGAAACUCUGAACCAGCUAUAUCGCGUGCAGGAAGAAGGUUGAAAGAUCGUAAACUGCUUUUGUAUGAGAUUAAGGAUUCUUAUAUUAAGAAUUUUGAAGUUAUUGUACGAAUAAAUAUCGGCUAACUCCGUGCCAGCAGCCGCGGUAAUACGGGGGAUAUAAGCGUUAUCCGGGAUUAUUAGGUUUAAAGGGUGCGUAGACGGAUAAAUAAGUCAAUGAUGAAAUUUUUUAGCUUAACUAAAAAAGUGUUAUUGAUACUGUUAAUCUUGUGUUGUAUUAAAGUAACUGGAAUAUAUAAAGUAGCGGUAAAAUGCAUUGAUAUUAUAUAGAACACCAAUAGCGAAGGCAAGUUGCUGAAUACGACAGACGUUGAGGCACGAAAGCGUGGGUAGCAAACAGGAUUAGAUACCCUGGUAGUCCACGCCGUAAACGAUGAUCACUUAUUGUUAUUUAUUUAAUUAUUUAAUGAUGUAGCGAAAGCGUUAAGUGAUCCACCUGGGUAGUACGAUCGCAAGAUUAAAACUCAAAGGAAUUGACGGGGGCCUACACAAGCGGUGGAGCAUGUGGUUUAAUUCGAUAGUACGCGAGGAACCUUACCAAGAUUUAAAUGUAAAUUGAAUAAAUUAGUAAUAAUUUAGUCUUAUGACAGUUUGCAAGGUGUUGCAUGGUUGUCGUCAGUUCGUGCCGUGAGGUGUUAGGUUAAGUCCUUAAACGAGCGCAAUCCUAAUUAUUAGUUGCUAACAGGUAAUGCUGAGGACUCUAGUAAUACAGCUAAUGAAAAUUAGAGGAAGGUCAGGAUCACGUCAAAUCAUCAUGACCCCAAUAUCUUGGGCUACACACGUGCUACAAUGGUUAAUACAGAGAGUUGCUAUUAGGUGACUAAAAGCUAAUCUUAAAAAUUAAUCUUAGUUCGGAUUGGAGUCUGCAAUUCGACUCCAUGAAGCUGGAAUCGCUAGUAAUCGCGUAUCAGCCAUAACGCGGUGAAUAUGUACUUAGGUCUUGUACACACCGCCCGUCAAGUCACGGAAAUUGGUUUUAUUUGAAAUCAAUUUGUAAUUGAUUAUUUUAAAAUUGAUAACUGGGG
rnacentral:rRNA from 1 species